AAAUUGAAGAGUUUGAUCAUGGCUCAGAUUGAACGCUGGCGGCAGGCCUAACACAUGCAAGUCGAACGGUAACAGGAAGCAGCUUGCUGCUUUGCUGACGAGUGGCGGACGGGUGAGUAAUGUCUGGGAAACUGCCUGAUGGAGGGGGAUAACUACUGGAAACGGUGGCUAAUACCGCAUAACGUCGCAAGACCAAAGAGGGGGACCUUCGGGCCUCUUGCCAUCAGAUGUGCCCAGAUGGGAUUAGCUUGUUGGUGAGGUAACGGCUCACCAAGGCGACGAUCCCUAGCUGGUCUGAGAGGAUGACCAGCCACACUGGAACUGAGACACGGUCCAGACUCCUACGGGAGGCAGCAGUGGGGAAUAUUGCACAAUGGGCGCAAGCCUGAUGCAGCCAUGCCGCGUGUAUGAAGAAGGCCUUAGGGUUGUAAAGUACUUUCAGCGGGGAGGAAGGUGUUG
rnacentral:rRNA from 10 species